CUUCAUUUUUCUUACUAAAACUAAAGCAACAUGUCAAAUGAGCCACAAAACCAAUACUCUGAAGUACGAAGCCAGAUUUCAUUUCCCUUUUUCCUUUCAUUCCUCUUGGUAUCUUACUUUUACUCUAUCUUCUUAUUAUAUCUGGCAUUCAUUUGGAUAUAUUAGACUUGGACCGGUUCGGUUCGGAUGAUUAUUUUGGAUCUGUCGAAAAUCGAAUCCACCAAAUUCAAUGGAUAUUUUUGGGAUUGCGAUUUAGGGUUUGAGUUUUUUAGUUUGUUUUGUUUGUGUUUUGAAAAAGUUGAUUAGUGUUUUGAGUUUUUAAAGUUUCAUUUCGGUUUCAGGAUGGGUUAAAGUGAUUUAGGGUUAGGGAUACUAAAUUUGUAAUGUUUGUGUAAUUAAUCUGAUAUUUUGUAUUUAUAAAAAUGAUUUAGAUUUUCUUGUACGAGUUUUUGUAAUAUUUGUAUUUCUAUGUAUUGAUUUAGAUUAUUGUGUGUGAAGAUCUAGUGUUAGGAGGAUAUUCAGAGUCAACUCAAUUCAAUACAGGGAUAAGAAAUAAAAAUUGGUUUCUUUGGGACCUCUAACAAUACUCUCAAACAAUUGAUCAACUCGGAGCAUUAUUUGGUGUACACAUAAUACUUCAUUCACAAAAGGGAUUUUGUUAGGUAUUUGAAGCAUCUUCCGUUGUUGUUUGGGCAUACUGCGUUGUUC